UCUACCCGCAACAGGAGGAUAGCUCCCCGAAAGGGGGAAUUAAACCCUCCAUGAGAUCACGGGGUGGCAUCACCUAGUGAUUAAAUCUGAGGAGGUUGUGGAUGAGCAUGCGACUGAUUAGCUAGUUGGCAGUGUAACGGACUACCAAGGCAAUGAUCAGUAGGGGAACUGAGAGGUUGAUCCCCCACACUGGCACUGAGAUACGGGCCAG
rnacentral:rRNA from 1 species